rnacentral:rRNA from 1 species
UACGUAGGGCGCAAGCGUUGGUCCGGAAUUAUUGGGCGUAAAGAGCUCGUAGGCGGUUUGUCGCGUCUGCUGUGAAAACCUGAGGCUCAACCUCGGGCUUGCAGGUGGGUACGGGCAGACUAGAGUGCGGUAGGGGUGACGUGGAAUUCCGUGGUGGUAGCGGUGGAAUGCGCAGAUAUCAGGAGGAACACCGAGUGGCGAAGG